UGACCAUCCUCGAGAGAACGUAAAGAGGAUUAAGGCCAGACGGACAGCCGGGUCAAAAGCCGA
rnacentral:sRNA from 12 species